GGAUUGUGGCUCAGUGGUAGAGCACUCACCUAGCAUGGGCGGGACCCAGGAUCAAUCCUCAGCACCA
rnacentral:tRNA from 1 species